rnacentral:lncRNA from 1 species
CAUCAGGCUUGUGUUCAGAAAUAUCUCCAUAAUCAUUUCAUCAAUUUGAAUCUCAAAAGGUGCCAUCUGGAUCAAUGCGCAAAUGUAGGUAUCAUGGUUCAGGAUCUGGUCACCAGCCCCUACUGUAUCUCCUUGGUAAGAAUCCUGGGCUAUUUACUAUUUCUGUGACCACAGGUAAAGCAGGAUCUCAUCAUAAAGUGGUGUAAUUGGACUAAAUGGUCUCUAAGAUCCAUUUAAGAUGCAUUUCAGCUAUAAACAUAUGACCAGUGUUUGGAAUAAUGAUAAAAGCUUGUUGGAGCCAAAGAAAAAUUACUCUUUCACAAAGAAACAAACUUUUUUUUAAAGUAUGUAUUACAUAUAUAGAAUUAUGUUCCCUUUAAAGAUACUAAAUUUAAUACCAAAAAACCAGUUGAUGGCUACAUUAUUAUUCCCAUUUUUAUAGUUGAGGAAAAUUAAAUAGACUGAGGUUAGUGAUAUAUCCAUUGAAUUAACAAGCUGCCUCCAGUUAUUAAAUGUGACAUACCUCUUUCUUGAAAACUCUUGCCUGAAAAAGGGGUCACAGCGCCAGUAGGGGAAGAAUGGCGGCUGCUGCCAGUGGAGAUCGGUGUCUACAGAUCCUGUUCGCCUCCGCUCCUGUCGCUGCUCGUGACCGCGCUCCAACUCCUACUGCCACCCAGACGCCCAAAAAACACAGGGGGCUGCUUCCCGUCUCGAGCCUAGAGGCGACACUGGAAAGAAAGGCCACCUCAUUCCUGGCUUUCUGGAAAUCAUCACUGUCCCUUCCAUUCUCUUGCCCAUCAGCGAAUCUAAAAGGACUGAAUGAGUAAGACAGAACAGAGAACCUACAAUUAUUUGGAAAGAAGCUUUCUAAGCCUCACAUUUCAUCUCAGCAAAACAAGGGGGCUAGAAUGAGAGGAUCUUUGGCACUUAUUCCAGGCCUGCAGACAAAAGGAAGACAGGAGGAUCCUAAAGGCAUUUGUAAAAUAUUCCCCCCCAUACCAAUGAAUUCAGAAUAUCACCAGAUGACAGAUACAGAAAGUAAGUACCUUGAACCCCUGUGAGUCUCAAGAACAGUUGCUUCUAGCCUUAAUGGUAGAGUCUGCAACAAGAAAAGGUCAAAAAUC